CCCUUAGAUGUCCGGGGCCGCACGCGCGCUACACUGAAGGAAUCAGCGUGGCUUUCUCCCUGACCCGAAAGGGUUGGGAAACCCGUUGAAUCUCCUUCGUGAUAGGGAUUGGGUCUUGAAAUUGUUCCCCAUGAACGAGGAAUUCCCAGUAAGCGCGAGUCAUAAGCUCGCGUUGAUUACGUCCCUGCCCUUUGUACACACCGCCCGUCGCUACUACCGAUUGAACGGUUUAGUGAGGGCCUCGGAUUGGUCUCGGCCCGCUCUUUACCGGGCGGCGCCGUUGGUCGAGAAGACGCUCGAACUUGAUCGUUUAGAGGAAGUAAAAGUCGUAACA
rnacentral:rRNA from 1 species